GUAGUGACAAUAAAUACCUUACAGAGGUCUCGUUAACCGAGAUCUCUCAAACGGAAUGAGUACAACGUGAAUCCUUUAACGAGGAUCGACUGGAGGGCAAGCCUGGUGCCAGCAGCCGCGGUAAUUCCAGCUCCAGUAGCGUAUAUUAAAGCUGUUGCGGUUAAAAAGCUCGUAGUUGGAUAUCAGUGCGUGUCCGGUCCGGUAUGCCUGGCGGCGUCGCUCGCGCGUCACUGCUGGGCUCCCAAAUAUCGGCUGGCCGCAUUCAAUCGUGCCGGAUCCGUCGACGGGCCGUUCUACGGAGGGGCCUGUUGGCGACCGGCGACGUUACCUUGAACAAAUUAGAGUGCUCAAAGCAGGCUCUGAAUGCCUGUAUACAUAUUCAUGGAAUUGGAGAAUACGUCCCUGGCUCGAUUUGGUUGGUUUUGAGAGUCGAAGGGAAAUGAUUAAUAGGGACUGACGGAGGCAUUCGUAUUGCGACGCGAGGGGUGAAAUCCUGUGACCGUCGCACGACGAACUACUGCGAAAGCAUUUGCCGAGAAUGUUUUCAUUAGUCAAGAACGAAAGUUASAGGUUCGAAGGCGAUCAGAUACCGCCCUAGUUCUAACCGUAAACGAUGUCGACCAGCAAUCCGCAACGGUCACUACACGGACUGUGCGGGCAGCUUCCCCGGGGAAACCAGAGUUUUUGGACUCCGGGGGAAGUAUGGUUGCAAAGCUGAAACUUAAAGGAAUUGACGGAAGGGCACCACCAGGAGUGGAGCUUGCGGCUUAAUUUGACUCAACACGGGACAACUCACCAGGCCCGGACACCGUAAGGAUUGACAGACUGAUA
rnacentral:rRNA from 1 species